UACGAGGGGUGCAAGCGUUGCUCGGAAUUAUUGGGCGUAAAGGGUAGGUAGGUGGUCUCAUUUGUCUGGGGUGAAAGCCUUGAGCUUAACUCAAGAAGUGCCCUAGAAACGGUGAGACUGGAGUCCUGGAGAGGGUCGUGGAAUUCCCGGUGUAGCGGUGAAAUGCGUAGAUAUCUGGAGGAACACCGGUGGCGAAGGCGGCAUCCUGGACCAACACUGACGCUGAGUGAGCGAAAGCCAGGGGAGCAAACGGG
rnacentral:rRNA from 1 species